YGUGAACCUCGGAAGGAUCAUU
rnacentral:rRNA from 1 species